UGACAAACAGUUUGGACAAUUUCUGAGAGUUAAAUAAUGCAGGUUAGGAUAAAAUCCAUAAUCAGAUCAACAUGGAAAAACCACACUGUUAGUUUUUUUUUAAAUAUUCCCAAUAGAAACUUGAAAACAUAACAGACCAUUUUAGAAUGGUAGGGCUGCUCAGGUGAACCUAUAUUACAAAUGUUUAGUUUUAUUUAUUUGAAAUUCCCCAUAUCUAGUAGACAUUUGCUAGUCCAGUCGUAAAACAUCCAUCUUAUUGAAAAGAUAUCUCACUGUUUUUAAAUUACCUGAUAUCAGGGCAAAAUGUAACAAAUCCAUUGACCAUGUUGUGUAGUCAAUAUUACCUGGUUGAAAUUCCCAUCAUAUGGGUUUUUAAUGACCACAUUUCACUCUAUCUACCUCAAAUCUAUUUCAAAUAAUUGUAAACUUAAUCAUUGAUCUGGACAUUUUUAUCACAAGUCAAUGCCAUGCUCCAGGUUAUGGUUUUCAGAGUCUCAAAAGUUUUUCACAGUAUGGUUUGAAGGUUUUCAGCUGUCGUUCCAAUUGAUUCAUGAGUUUUCCUUUGAGUUAUAUUUGUGUGUUGUAUUUGUUUGGUUUCUUUGUUCCAGCUUAACUCAAUUGAAUGACAGCUAAGCCCUGGAACAACAAGGGAAAUUAAUUUGUGCAUGAAGUCAGUGAUAUGAGGAAGUGAUGACAUGGUACCAUGGAAACAUCACAUCAGAUCUUGUCAGUUAUAUAAUCCCAUAAGCAUUUAUAAUAUUUGUGACCACUGUGUGUUUCUUUUAAUAUUUUAAAUCACUAAUAUAAUGUCUCAUAUUUCAAUGGGUUUUUUUUUUAAUUCAGUAAUUUCCAUGUACUUUUUUAAACCUCUUUUGGGGACUCGAGUAGGAGGCGGGAUAGUUUUUUUUCUAUGAUACCACUGUAGUACAGUGUAUUCUCAAGAACUGUAACAUGCCUUAGGCUAAGACAUAGAUGUGGAUUUUUGUCUUCAAAAAGUUACCCUUCUUGCCUAAAUUAAGCAUUUUAAUGUCAUUAUGCAAUAAUCUGUAAUUACUGUAACUACUGAAACUGAGGCACCUUGAUCUGAAUAUUUGAAGCAUUACAUGACCUCUAUGGUUAUGGUUGUAUGAAGCACAAAACUAACAGCAUUCACCUAAAUGCCUUUCACAGUCAUCAGGGUGUGGGCUAUUAGGUUAACAUAGUAGCUAAAUAUGCCUCAGGGACUAGGCCUUUACCACAUCAUGCAAUUCGUUUCAAAUUUGUCCUGUAAUGUUUUCUUGUUCCUAAUAUAAAUCAAUAAACAUGGUCCUAAAAGAAAUAUGAA